GCGCCCGUAGCUCAAUGGAUAGAGCACCAGACUACGGAUCUGGGGGUUGGAAGUUCGACCCUUCCCGGGCGCG
rnacentral:tRNA from 2 species